AUGCCUCACCUUGUUUCUGAAAGCACAAAUCAGAAAAACUCCUCUGGUUUCUUCAGCUCUAGCAAAGUGAAGUCCAUGUUCCAAGGACCAGAUUCCUCGAUCUCAUUGGCUAAAGAGUGUGUCACUCAAGGCUGCAGUGUGCACAUCUUUGUGUUCUCCCAUCAGGAAGUAGGCGGGGCUUUGCCAGGGCACAUCCCCUUUCUCACAGGGGGUGGUGUCAUCUGCUAUAACAGACUACAGCUGGUGUUGCCUCAGUUUCUGAAAGUCCUACCUGUCUACGUUUACAGUUUUCGCAAAAGUGAAGUGCUGCUGCCUGGUCCGCGGAGCUCUGUACAUCAGCAUCUAAGACUGCGUGGCCUCAUUGUCUCCAUGGACACGCUGAGCACUGCUUCCCAGUUCUACCCACUUAUUCUGCCUCUGGUGAGAGACAGACAUCUAGAACAUUCUGUUCAUCCAAAUUAG
rnacentral:lncRNA from 1 species